UCUUAUAUUACAUUAUAGAAGGGAUAAGAG
rnacentral:piRNA from 1 species